AUGGCGUCGAGAUCCUACUCCAACCUCUUGGAGCUCGCCGGCGGGGCUGACCGCGACCAGCCGCUGCCGUCCCUCGGGCAGCCGCGGAUACCGCGGGUGAUGACGGCGUCUGGCAUUGUGCCCGGCCUUGACCGCUCCGACGCCCCAGCUGACGCCGACGCCGACGCCGCCUCGGUGGCCUCCGACGACCAACCCGACCAGCCGCCGCGGGAGCGCACCAUCAUCGUGGCCAACCAGCUCCCCAUCCGCGCCUGCCGCGGCGCCGACGGCGCCUGGGAGUUCUCCUGGGACCAGGACAGCCUCCUGCGGCAGCUCAAGGAGGCUCUGCGCGCGCACCAGGGCCGCGCCCACAUGGACUUCGUCUACAUCGGCGGCCUGCGCGACGACAUCCCGGCGGAGGAGCAGGACAAGGUCGCGCUCGAGCUCUACGACCGCUUCCGCUGCGUGCCCGCCUUCCUGCCGGACGACCUCCGCUCCCGCUUCUACCACGGCUUCUGCAAGCAGCAGCUGUGGCCACUGUUCCAUUACAUGCUGCCACUGUCGCCCGAGCUCGGCGGCCGCUUUGACCGCGACCUGUGGAAGGCCUACCUGUCCGUCAACAAGAUCUUCACCGACAAGAUCAUGGAGGUGAUCAACCCCGAGGAGGACUUCGUGUGGGUGCACGACUACCAUCUCAUGCUCCUGCCCACCUUCCUGCGCAAGAAAUUCAACCGGGUCAGGCUGGGAUUCUUCCUGCACAGCCCGUUCCCAUCAUCGGAGAUCUACAAGACCCUGCCGGUGCGCGAGGAGGUGCUCCGGGCGCUGCUGAAUGCCGACUUGAUUGGCUUCCACACAUUUGACUAUGCCAGGCAUUUCCUCUCAUGCUGCAGCAGGAUGCUGGGAAUGAAAUACGAGUCGCAGAGGGGAUACAUUGGACUGGAAUAUUAUGGACGGACUGUCACUGUCAAGAUACUGCCGGUGGGGAUACAUUUGACGCAGCUGCAGGCAGUGCUCAACCUCCCGGAGACCGGGCUCAAGGUCGCCGAGCUUAUGAAGGAGUUCCCUGAUCCUCACCGCAUCAUGAUGCUUGGUGUGGAUGACAUGGACAUAUUUAAAGGCAUCAGUCUGAAGCUUUUGGCAUUUGAGGAGCUCUUGACGCAGCAUCCAGAGUAUCGAGGAAAGGUGGUGCUGGUACAGAUUGCCAAUCCGGCUAGGGGGAAGGGAAAGGAUGUCAAGGAGGUACAGGAUGAGAGCUAUGCCAUGGUGAAGCGCAUCAAUGAGGCAUUUGGGCAGCCAGAUUACCAGCCAGUCAUAUUGAUCGACAGGCCGCUGCACUUCUAUGAGAGGAUGGCAUACUAUGUUGUUGCUGACUGCUGCUUGGUGACCGCGGUGAGGGAUGGCAUGAAUCUUAUACCAUAUGAGUACAUCAUUGCUAGGCAGGGGAAUGAGAAGAUUGACAGGAUCCUGGGUCUCAGCCCUUUCACAAGGAAGAAGAGCAUGCUUGUCGUGUCGGAAUUCAUUGGCUGCUCACCCUCCCUGAGUGGCGCAAUUCGGGUGAACCCUUGGAACAUUGAGUCGGUGGCCGAGGCAAUGGACAAGGCCUUGCACACAGGUGAAGGUGAGCAGGCGCUGAGGCACGAGAAGCAUCACAAAUUUGUGAGCACACAUGAUGUCGGAUACUGGGCAAACAGCUUCCUGCAGGAUCUGGCGAGGACUUGCCAAGACCAUAACAAGAGGCGCUGCUGGGCCAUAGGAUUUGGGCUAAGGUUCAGGGUUGUGGCCCUUGAUACGAGCUUCAAGAAGCUCGCGGCUGAGCAUCUUGUCUCAGCCUACCGGAAGGCAACCACGCGCGCCAUUCUCUUGGACUAUGAUGGUACGCUGAUGCCUCAGUCAUUGUUUGGUAAGAUGCCGAGCCCCGAAACAAUAGACAUGUUGAACAGCCUUUGUCGCGAUGAGAAGAACAUGGUCUUAAUCGCAAGCACAAAGACCCGGGAGACCUUAAGUGAAUGGUUCUCAGCAUGUGAGGACCUAGGCCUUGCUGCUGAGCAUGGCUACUUCAUCAGGCUGGAACGAGAUGCAGAAUGGGAGACAUGCGGCCUGUCAACAGACUUCAGCUGGAAGCAAAUCGUGGAGCCGGUGAUGAAGACCUACACCGAGACAACGGACGGGUCGAUCAUCGAGGACAAGGAGACAGCAAUAGUGUGGUGCUACGAGGACGCGGACCAUGAUUUUGGAUCUUGCCAGGCCAAGGAGCUCCAUGAUCACCUGGAGAGUGUCCUCUCUAACGAGCCGGUAUCAGUCAAAGCUGACCUGCACUAUGUUGAGGUGAAGCCACAGGGUGUGAGCAAGGGCCUGGUGGCGAAGCGGAUGCUGUCGACAAUGCAGGAGCUGGGGCUCCAGCCCGACUUCAUCCUCUGCGUCGGGGACGACCGCUCCGACGAGGACAUGUUCGAGGUGAUCACCACCGCGGUGGACGGCCCCUACCUGAGCCCUUCCGCGACGGUCUUCGCCUGCACCAUCGGCCAAAAGCCCAGCAAGGCCAAGUACUACCUGGAUGAGCCCGCCGACAUCAAGCGCAUGAUCCGGGCCCUCGCGAGCGUCUCUGACCAGGAGCUGGCGAUGGAGGAGGGCGAAGACCCUCCUUACCCUUUCCUCGCCGGCGACGGCACCAGCAGCGACGACACCUGGCUGGACUGA
rnacentral:rRNA from 1 species